GCCGACGUAGCUCAACGGCAGAGCACUCCGCUCAUAACGGAGGGGCACCCGGAUCGACACCGGGCGUCGGCA
rnacentral:tRNA from 1 species